rnacentral:rRNA from 1 species
ACCCCGCUGAACUCUAGCAUAUCAAUAAGCGGAGGAAAAGAAACCAACAGGGAUUGCCUCAGUAACGGCGAGUGAAGCGGCAACAGCUCAAAUUUGAAAUCUGGCCCCCCGGCCCGAGUUGUAAUUUGCAGAGGAUGCUUCGGGCGCGGUGCCUUCCAAGUCCCCUGGAACGGGGCGCCGGAGAGGGUGAGAGCCCCGUACGGUUGGCGGCCAAGCCUGUGUGAAGCUCCUUCGACGAGUCGAGUAGUUUGGGAAUGCUGCUCUAAGCGGGAGGUAGACCCCUUCUAAAGCUAAAUAUAGGCCAGAGACCGAUAGCGCACAAGUAGAGUGAUCGAAAGAUGAAAAGCACUUUGAAAAGAGGGUUAAACAGCACGUGAAAUUGUUGAAAGGGAAGCGCUUGCGACCAGACGUGCGCCGGGGUGCUCAGCGGGCGUUCUCGCCCGUGCACUCGCCCCGGUGCAGGCCAGCGUCGGUUCGCGUGGGAGGAUAAAGGCGCCUGGAAUGUGGCUCCCCCGGGAGUGUUAUAGCCAGGCGUGCCAUGCUCCCCUGCGGACCGAGGUACGCGUUCUGCAAGGACGCUGGCGUAAUGGUCCCCAGCGACCCGUCUUGAAACACGGACCAAGGAGUCGAGGUUUUGCGCGAGUGUUUGGGUGUUAAACCCGCACGCGUAAUGAAAGUGAACGUAGGUGGGAGCUUCGGCGCACCACCGACCGAUCCUGAUGUUCUCGGAUGGAUUUGAGUAAGAGCGUAGGGCCUCGGACCCGAAAGAUGGUGAACUAUGCUUGGAUAGGGUGAAGCCAGAGGAAACUCUGGUGGAGGCUCGCAGCGGUUCUGACGUGCAAAUCGAUCGUCAAAUCUGAGCAUGGGGGCGAAAGACUAAUCGAAGCA